AUUGAACGCUGGCGGCAGGCCUAACACAUGCAAGUCGAACGAGUGGCGGACGGGUGAGUAAUGUCUGGGAAACUGCCUGAUGGAGGGGGAUAACUACUGGAAACGGUAGCUAAUACCGCAUACCAUCAGAUGUGCCCAGAUGGGCUUAGCUUGUUGGUGGGGUAAAGGCUAACCAAGGCGACGAUCCCUAGCUGGUCUGAGAGGAUGACCAGCCACACGGGAACGGAGACCGGGGCCAGACUCCCACGGGAGGCAGCAGUGGGGAAUAUUGCACAAGGGGGGCAAGCCUGAGGCAGCCAGGCCGGGUGAAUGAAGAAGGCCUUCGGGUGGUAAAGUACUUUCGGGGGGGAGGCGUUACCCGCAGAGGAAGCCCCGGCUACUCCGUGCCAGCCGCCGCGGUAAUAC
rnacentral:rRNA from 1 species